rnacentral:rRNA from 1 species
CCUACGGGCGGCUGCAGUAGGGAAUAUUGCGCAAUGGGCGAAAGCCUGACGCAGCGACGCCGCGUGGGUGAUGAAGGCCUUCGGGUCGUAAAGCUCUGUCAAGAGGAAAGAAGUGUACAAUGGCUAAUACCUGUUGUAUUUGACGGUACCUCUAAAGGAAGCACCGGCUAACUCCGUGCCAGCAGCCGCGGUAAUACGGAGGGUGCAAGCGUUGUUCGGAAUCACUGGGCGUAAAGGGCUCGUAGGCGGCUUGGUAAGUCAGAUGUGAAAGCCCACGGCUUAACUGUGGAAGUGCAUUUGAAACUGUCAGGCUUGAGUACCAGAGGGGAAAGUGGAAUUCCCGGUGUAGAGGUGAAAUUCGUAGAUAUCGGGAGGAAUACCGGUGGCGAAGGCGACUUUCUGGCCGGAUACUGACGCUGAGGCACGAAAGCUAGGGGAGCAAACAGGAUUAGAUACCCGGGUAG